CAAUUGCGUAUAUUAAAGUUGUUGCGGUUAAAAAGCUCGUAGUUGGAUUUCUGCUGAGAACGACCGGUCCGCCCUUUGGGUGUGUAUCUGGCUCUUUCUUGGCAUCUUCUUGGUGAACGUUGCUGCACUUGACUGUGUGGAGCGCUACCCAGGACUUUUACUUUGAGGAAAUUAGAGUGUUUCAAGCAGGCAUACGCCUUGAAUACAUUAGCAUGGAAUAAUAAGAUAGGACCUCGGUUCUAUUUUGUUGGUUUCUAGAGCUGAGGUAAUGAUUAAUAGGGAUAGUUGGGGGCAUUCGUAUUUAACUGUCAGAGGUGAAAUUCUUGGAUUUGUUAAAGACGGACUACUGCGAAANCANNNGCCAAGGAUGUUUUCAUNGA
rnacentral:rRNA from 1 species